rfam:Picea glauca, whole genome shotgun sequence.
AUGUAUAUUCCUGCAACAUAGCAUUAAUGCACCAGAUCCCAUUAGAACUCUGCAGUUGAGCGCGCUCGGGCUAGAGUAGUAUUGGGAUGGGUGACCGCUCGGGAAGUCCUAAUAUUUUACAUG